GUUGUUGCAGUUAAAAAGCUCGUAGUUGAAUUUCUGGUCUCGGACAUCGGUCUGCCUCGAACGAGGUACGUACCAGUUGUCUGAAUCCAUCCUCGGGGAAAACAUGUCUGGCAUUCAGUUGUUGGGCAUGGGAUCCUCGUCAUUUACUGUGAGCAAAAUAGAGUGUUCAAAGCAGGCUUAUGCCUUGGAUAUGUUAGCAUGGAAUAAUAAGAUAAGACUUUGGCGGUCUAUUUUGUUGGUUUGCACGCCAUUGUAAUGAUUGAUAGGGACAGUUGGGGGUAUUCAUAUUUAAUUGUCAGAGGUGAAAUUCUUGGAUUUAUGAAAGAUGAACUACUGCGAAAGCAUUUACCAAGGAUGUUUUCAUUAAUCAAGAACGAAAGUUAGGGGAUCGAAGAUGAUUAGAUACCAUCGUAGUCUUAACCAUAAACUAUGCCGACUAGGGAUUAGCGGUCGUUAAAAUCAUGACUCCGUUAGCACCUUAUGAGAAAUCAAAGUCUUUGGGUUCCGGGGGGAGUAUGGUCGCAAG
rnacentral:rRNA from 1 species